GAUGAACGCUGGCGGCGUGCCUAAUACAUGCAAGUCGAGCGAAUGGAUUAAGAGCUUGCUCUUAUGAAGUUAGCGGCGGACGGGUGAGUAACACGUGGGUAGCCUGCCCAUAAGACUGGGAUAACUCCGGGAAACCGGGGCUAAUACCGGAUAACAUUUUGAACCGCAUGGUUCGAAAUUGAAAGGCGGCUUCGGCUGUCACUUAUGGAUGGACCCGCGUCGCAUUAGCUAGUUGGUGAGGUAACGGCUCACCAAGGCAACGAUGCGUAGCCGACCUGAGAGGGUGAUCGGCCACACUGGGCAUGAGACACGGCCCAGACUCCUACGGGAGGCAGCAGUAGGGAAUCUUCCGCAAUGGACGAAAGUCUGACGGAGCAACGCCGCGUGAGUGAUGAAGGCUUUCGGGUCGUAAAACUCUGUUGUUAGGGAAGAACAAGUGCUAGUUGAAUAAGCUGGCACCUUGACGGUACCUAACCAGAAAGCCACGGCUAACUACGUGCCAGCCGCCGCAGUAA
rnacentral:rRNA from 1 species